rnacentral:rRNA from 1 species
UGUGGAUGGGUAGGGGAGCGUCCUGCAUCCAGGGAAGCGGCGGCGGAAGCCAGUCGUGGAGGGUGUGGGAGUGAGAAUGCAGGCAUGAGUAGCGAAUGCAGAGUGAGAAACUCUGCCGCCGGAUGACCAAGGGUUCCUGGGCCAGGCUAAUCCGCCCAGGGUAAGUCGGGACCUAAGGCGAGGCCGACAGGCGUAGUCGAUGGACAACGGGUUGAUAUUCCCGUACCCGAGCAUGUGCGCCCAUGACGAGGCGUUUGAUACUAACCACCCAAAGCCACGGUUUGAAGCCUUCGGGUGAAUGACUGUGUGUGGAGCGUGGGACCUGAUUUCGUAGUAGUCAAGCGAUGGGGUGACGCAGGAAGGUAGCUCCGCCAGGCGAUGGUUGUCCUGGUAUAAGCGUGUAGGCCGAGUGGUAGGCAAAUCCGCCACUCACGUAGGCUGAGACGUGAUGUGUAGCCGUUUGAGGCGAAGUAGAGUGAUCCUAUGCUGCCGAGAAAAGCCUCUAGUGAGUGCAUGCACGGCCCGUACCCCAAACCAACACAGGUGGUCAGGUAGAGAAUACCAAGGCGAUCGGGUGAACUGUGGUUAAGGAACUCGGCAAAAUGCCCCCGUAACUUCGGGAGAAGGGGGGCCAAACAUCCUGAAGCUUUUUACAGGCUAGGGGUGGGUGGCCGCAGAGACCAGCGGAAAGCGACUGUUUACUAAAAACACAGGUCCAUGCGAAGUCGCAAGACGAUGUAUAUGGACUGACGCCUGCCCGGUGCUGGAACGUUAAGAGGACCGGUUAGCCAGCAAUGGCGAAGCUGAGAAUUUAAGCGCCAGUAAACGGCGGUGGUAACUAUAACCAUCCUAAGGUAGCGAAAUUCCUUGUCGGGUAAGUUCCGACCUGCACGAAUGGCGUAACGACUUUCCGGCUGUCUCAACCACAGGCCCGGCGAAAUUGCACUACGAGUAAAGAUGCUCGUUACGCGCGGCAGGACGGAAAGACCCCGGGACCUUUACUAUAGUUUGGUAUUGGUUUUCGGUUCGGCUUGUGUAGGAUAGGUGGGAGACUGUGAAGCUGCAACGCUAGUUGUGGUGGAGUCGUUGUUGAAAUACCACUCUGGUCGAAUUGGGAAUCUGAACCUCGGGCCAUGAUCUGGUUCAGGGACAGUGCCUGAUGGGUAGUUUAACUGGGGCGGUUGCCUCCUAAAGAGUAACGGAGGCGCCCAAAGGUUCCCUCAGCCUGGUUGGCAAUCAGGUGUUGAGUGCAAGUGCACAAGGGAGCUUGACUGUGAGACAGACAUGUCGAGCAGGGACGAAAGUCGGGACUAGUGAUCCGGCACCUCCUGGUGGAAGGGGUGUCGCUCAACGGAUAAAAGGUACCCCGGGGAUAACAGGCUGAUCUUGCCCAAGAGUCCAUAUCGACGGCAUGGUUUGGCACCUCGAUGUCGGCUCGUCGCAUCCUGGGGCCGGAGUAGGUCCCAAGGGUUGGGCUGUUCGCCCAUUAAAGCGGCACGCGAGCUGGGUUUAGAACGUCGUGAGACAGUUCGGUCCCUAUCCGCCGCGCGCGUAGGAUACUUGAGGAAGGCUGUCCCUAGUACGAGAGGACCGGGACGGACGAACCUCUGGUGUGCCAGUUGUUCUGCCAAGGGCAUGGCUGGUUGGCCACGUUCGGAAGGGAUAACCGCUGAAGGCAUCUAAGCGGGAAGCCUGUUCCAAGAUGAGGUAUCCCACCCCUUGUGGGUUAAGGCCCCCAACAGACCAUUGGGUUGAUAGGCCAGAAAUGGAAGCACAGUAAUGUGUUGUCGAGUUGACUGGUACUAAUAGGCCGAGGACUUGCC